rnacentral:lncRNA from 1 species
AUCACGGGACCAUCUUGCUUUAUUCAUAUUGAUCUCAUAUAUAAAUCACGGCACACAGAAGUAUAUAUAUGACAAAAGAAAGAAUGUCUACCAAGACCAACCGAUCAAAACCUAGCAAGACUCAUCAAACUACCACCGAUCUAAACCGUAUGUAUAGAAACCAGUCACCCAGGAGUAGUCGAGGACAAAACGCAACCAUCUCUACUGCAGGAGAGUCGCCGCGAGCAGUGACACAAGCGCGGAGGCCACCACGGCCACGGCGGAGACCGGGGCGAGACCGGCGGCCGCUCCGGCGUCUGGCGCGGGCGCGGGCGCCGACGAAGGCGCCAUGAUGCCCUGCGCCGAUGCGGAGGCGAAGAAAACGGAGGCCACGGCCAUGGCGACGAGCAGCACGGCGGCGCGGGGAGCCAUCACACCCUUCUUUCCUGGGCUGAGAAACGCUAGGGAGCUCUGUACGAGACCUGGCGGCGUCGAGGAGAUUGGUGUGGGAGGAGGAGGCGGCGUGGUGGAUGGAUGCUUAGGGAUGGAGGAUGGUGGGGGUUUAUAAUGGAGGCGGCGUGGCCCGUGGGUUUUGCGGUGCACGCAAACGCGUUUCGGUCGCGGGGCGUGGGAACGCGAGGUGGCCUGUGGGGUUGGGGGCCUUCCGCGUGACCGCCGUCUGUUGGGCUGGGGGGUGGGUUGGCAUGACGCGGUGCCGUUGGCCCGACUCCACCGACGGACGCGUCUUGGUGGAAGCUAAGAAUUAGGUUCGUGGCUAACCCGAACGCCAAAUGUGGUGCCUUGAGCUAGCCGGGCAGCACCGACUUCGGAUCGUGGCUAACGGAAUGCCAAAUGCGCCUUGUCCUCGUGCUUAGUUGCACCUUGCACGCCACCGGCUUUCUUUCUUUCUUAUUUUUCUUUUUUAACACAAUACAGACCGUAGCGUUCAUGUACUCACGUAUAUUACUCGUUCAUGAACGCACAUGUAUAUUCUAUCUUUACGAACAACUUUGAUAGACUGAGCUAACAUAUCAUCUUAAAAUUUACGAAGUCGUCGUAGACGCCUCGUCGUCGACGUAAACGCCUCUUUCAACUGAAUGCGCAUCUUCGAAAAUCUGAAAAUAAAUUUAAAAAUAAAUGCGAGCACCAGUAUUUGAAUCUUGAUGGACUGAGAUAUUACACUCCCUCUAACCAUCCAACUAGAGGUUAGCUUGCACUUCUCUUUUUUUCAACUCGUUUUCUGCAACAACAACAACAAUGACAACAAAAAAGUCCCAUGGUAAACAUCCAGAUAAUUCAAAGACGACGGCAACAGAUUGUAAAUAGAACAUGAAUAAUGUGAUGAUAAAUGCAACGAAUAAAUAAUUCUGCAACUAUAAUACAUGAGUAAAUAUAUUGUGGAAAAAAAUCUAAAGAACCGGUCUAGGACUGUUACAACACUCCUCAUUUACAAGUUAAUUUACUACCUUGAUCUCAUGGCUGGGCAAAUAGUUACCUCCAUACAUAGGUGGUGGGUCGAACCGUCGAAGUCUCAACCUGGCCCGACAUCCCCCGGGAGGACACUGCUUCUACUCUUCUUUUUGAUAUAGCUCAACAUUCAUGCCACGUGUGGUAUCACCGUCUAUAUUAUGUUGUUGUGGCAACGUGUCUCAUAUACCCUCCCUCAUCUUCUCCAAUAUUAAGAAUGAGGCGGCGCUUUGUGUUGAGGCCAGAGGGCAUGACAGUUAGAGCAUCUUCAAUAACAGCCCUACAAUAGGGCAUGAGCCGUUUCUAGGGCACGAGAGCAUCUAUAGCUGGACGACUCAAAAGACUCAUUAUAUGUCUACGGACGUGCCUCGUCAGUGGCCCGACAAAAAAUAGAAGAAAAAAAAGUAACCUAACUCGAUCCUUGAUAUUCAUCUCAUAUAUAAGUAGGAUAUAAGGGCUCGAGGUCGCGUCCGUGCGCAUCUAUCAGUCCGCUGCGUAGGACGCGGUCUCACCCCGAACCAUCUUUUCCUUUUCUUUAUUCAUUCAUUCUUUCUUUCUCUUCCUCUCCACCCAUCACAUGCAAGUGACCGGACAUAUGAGGAAGGAAAUGAGAAAUGUGGUUGUACGGACAGAAAAAUAGGAGACACGUCCGGUCACUGACCGGACGCGUCUGCGGACGUUUAGAAGGGUCAUAUUUGCUAUGUCCAGUUGUAAAUGCUGUGAGGGGACAAAAAAGACGUCCAACGGCUACCCAAUCCUAGUAUUUUGUAAAAAAAAAAAUUAAACAACCCUAGAAAAAGGCUUAUUGUGAGGCAAAUUUAGGGCAUUGUGGCUGAAAACCCUUGGAUCCAUCUAUCAGCCAACUAGUACAUGUCAUGGCUAGCGCCUUCGACCCUGCCGUCGAUCCUGAUAUGCUCACCACCAUUGCCGCCCUAUUUUAGGGCGGCUGUUGGAACGGUUGUGCCCUAUUCCGUGUACAAAAAGGCAUAAAAAUGUCUUUUGGACAUGUAAUAGGGCUGCUAUUUAAGAUGGCACUUUCUCGUGUCCAAAACUUUUUAUUUUCAAGGAUACGUCAAGAUAGACGUAUCGGGAUCAUAGAAAGAAGAAGCCAAGAAGGCAGAUUAUGGUACAACUCAUCCACGGCUCAAAGAGCCACAUACCUCAUGCGGACUACUCGCUAUCCUCUACCGUUCCUGCCCUAAUUGGCAAAGAUCUAGGAUCUCGCAACAGUUUUGCCGCCCUCCAAUCUUGGGCCUCAAUGUCGAUUUGCCUCUGCAUCGUUGCCGCGUCCGGGGAAGCUCCGUUGAAGACAAUCUUGUUUCUGUGGCGCCACAAGGUCCAAACAACCAGAGAGAUUACCGUCCAAAUCUCCUUGCUGAUUCUAUGGAAAGUAAUGGAGAGGUCGGCCAACUAGCCAGCUGCGAGUCCUGGUUCGGCAACCAAUUGGGCUUGCCCUAAUUCCUGACUAUGUCUUUCCAUACCUGUCUGGCGAGCCCGUAACCGAGGGUGAUGUGAUCAAUAGUUUCCGCAGCCUUGUGACAGAAGGGGCACACCACUAGACGCGGUAGUUGGCGACACUCAAGUCUAUCAACCACUUCACCCAUUUUCCAUGCCUUAUUAUACGGAUGUUGGAGAUGCUCUUAGGGGUUGAAGUAAGUGAGAGUGAUCCCUUGUACAGGUUGUGGCCUCCUAUUUUUGCAAUGGAAUUACAGAAAAGAUGUACAAAUUAAUCUCAGUUUCGUAACAAACUUCUUGUACUUGAUCGGCUGGGGCUGAUUUUGUUGCAGCCGAAAGGGUCGGGCCACCGUCGGAUCCGAUCCGACGGCCCCGAUUGCCCCGAUCGAAACCCUAGCAGGCGGCUGGGCCAUGAGGCGGACUGGGCCGGCUGGGCCUGCAAGGGAGCAGGCUCCGGUACUGGGUCACCGGGCAGUUUUCGGCCCAGAGAGCUUCAGACAUUAAAAGUUUUUAAUACAGUUUUUUCUAUGCAUUUUUCUCCAACAAAAAUGUGCUUAGAAAAUAGAAAAGAAAAAGGAGUGUCUCUGCAAAAUAAAAUAUAAAUUUUUCUGCAAAGAAAAAUAAAAGUUUCUGAAAAUAAAAUAGAGAUUUUUUGAGAAAAAGAAAAGUUCAUGGAUUUUAUAAAAGGAUAAUAAAGUUCAUGAAUUUUUAUUUUUAACAGAAUAUUUUUUUCUGUAAAGUAGAAAAAGUACAUGAAUUUUAUAUUCACGUUUUCCACUGCAAAGUAAUUUAAUAGUGCUAUUUUACGAAGUAAAUAAAAAUUUAGAGAGAAUAACAUUUAAGAGCAUAUUAAAGUGAUUAUUAAAAUAAAUAUGGUUAUGUUAUUUUUCUGACCAGCAUUGUUAAUAACAUGAUCAUGUUGCACUAUUGGCAUUAAGAUGCAUUUAUUUCUAUUAUUUGCCCAACGGUAAUAUAGAUUUAUUUGCAUAGAGAAUUGUAUGUUUAAUUUGACCAACGUUAGAUUAAUGCAUAUGAUUGUUAUACUGAUCUCUCUUAAAUUGUGAUUUCAUGAGGCUUCCACCUGAUGAGUUGCCUAAAAGAUGUUCCGACACUCAAAGGUGAUAAGUACUUUGAGUGGAGGAAGAAAGUAGAAAUGGCUUUUGUCUCUGCUGAGGUGGACUGGCUUCUGGAGGAACCACAACCCGUUAAACAUCCACAGCCAGUGAGAGAUGCAAAAGACACUAAUGUUGUAUGGGAGAAAAAGCAAAGGGAUUAUGCUCCAGUGGAGAUGUCCUACUCCCUUAACAACCAAAAGUGGAUAAAUGCCAACAAAAAGUGUCUGGCAUUUAUAAAUAAUACAAUUGAGAACGCCAUUGUGGGCUUAAUUACAGAGUGCACUUCCGUAGGGGAGAUGCUCACAAAGAUAAAGAGCCAGUUCACUGGCUCUUCAAAGACAUAUGCCAUCCAGUUGAUAAAACAACUGGUUACAGAGAACUACACUGGAGGUGGCCAUGGCAUUAGAGAGCACAUCCUUCAGAUGAGCAACAAGGCAGCAAAGCUCAAGCCAAUGGACGCGGAUCUGGAAAUCAAACCAGCACUCCUCAUCCACUUGGUCAUGGCUUCACUGCCAAAGGAGUUCGAAACUUUUGUUGUGAACUAUAACAUGUCCCCUGAAACAUGGAACAUUGAAAAUACAAUAGCAAUGUGUGUCCAAGAAGAGGACAAACUGAAAGCCUCACAUGGUGGUUCAAUCAACUAUGCGAAGGACAAUAAGAAAAAUAAUUUCAGUCAAAACAGCAAAGGUUCUCCUUCAAAGCCACAUGGUAAAGGCCCCUCACAUUUUCAGCAUCAGCAAAAGCCUCUUCUAGUGGACAGGGACACUUGUCUCCACUUCAAGAAGACAGGGCACUACAAAAAGGAUUGCCCUGACUAGCUAAAGACCAUCAUGGCAAAGAGAGGUAACGACAUCGUUUCCUUUGUUAAUGAAUCCAUGUAUUCACAGUUUUCGAAAUCUACUUCGUGGAUUGACUCGGGUGCAACUGUUCAUGUUGCAAACUCUUCACAAGGAUUCCGUUCGACGAGGAUUUUGCAAAGAAGAGAAAGAAGUAUUGAAGUCGCAAAUGGCGUCCAAGCAGAAGUUGAAGCUGUCGGCGACAUCUCCUUGGAGUUGGCUGAAGGAUUCAACCUUUUGCUUAGAAACGUCCUAUUUGUCCCUUCAUGUAAUAGAAAUUUAAUAAAGGUUUCUUGCUUAGAUAAAGACAAUUACGAGUAUUAUUUUGGACAUGGCAAGUGUGCCAUAUGGUACAAUAAUGCUUAUGUUGGUGUUGCCUUACUUCACAACGAGCUUUACUUGUUAUCACUUCGUGAAAAAGUGCAUUACGUGUGUAAUAUGAAUGAGCAAAAUUCCUCGUCGAACAAAGAACAAAAGAAAAGAAAGAGAACUCACGACUCAUCGAAGUUAUGGCACUGUCGUUGGGGCCAUAUUUCGAAAGGGGGGAUAGAAAGACUAAUUAAAAGCGAGAUACUUCCUCCACUUGAGUUCUUAGAUUUAAAACAAUGCAUUCAUUGCGUUAAAGGAAAGUAUGUAAAACAAAUUAAAAAGGGUGCAAACCGAAGCACUGGAACACUAGAAAUCAUCCACACUGACAUUUGAGGACCAUUUCCUGUGGAAAGCGUGGAUGCCUAUGACUCGUUCAUAACAUUCACAGAUGACUACUCCCGUUUCGGUUUUUAUUUAUCCAAUCAAAGAAAGAAAUGAAGCAUUGGGUAAAUUCAAAUUUUUCAGAGCUGAAGUUGAAAAUCAGCUUGACAAAAGAAUAAAGGUAGUGAGAUCUGACCGUGGGGGGAGUACUACGGUCGACAAACUCCAUAUGGCCAAGUCCUUGGACCUUUUGCAAAGUUCUUGCAGGCGACUGGCAUAGUAGCCUAGUAUUCAAUGUCGGGCGAGCCUCAGCAAAAUGGAGUAGCUGAAAGGCGUAACCGUACCCUUAUGGAUAUGGUGCGCAUCAUGAUCAGUUACUCCAACCUGCCAUUGGGAUUAUGGAUGGAGGCGCUUAAAACCGUCAUUCACAUUCUCAAUAGAGGACCAAGCAAGUCGGUGCCCAAAACACCGUACGAGUCGUGGACAGGAAAGGUACCAUCCUUGCAACACUUCAAAGUGUGGGGAUGCCCAGGUGAGGCCAAGAUGUUUAAUCCAAAUAUUGCAAAAUUAGAUCCCAAAACAGUGAGUUGCUACUUCAUUGUCUAUCCUGAUAGAUCAAAAGGUUUUCGUUUCUACUCUCCAGAAAAAUACACAAAGUUUGUAGAAACGAUACAUGCGGUAUUCUUAGAGGACGAAAUGAUGAGGGGGGGUCUGGUAGCUCGGAAAAUUGACCUUGAGGAGAAGAGGGUGCAUGCACCUAAUCCGAUGAUUCAAGAGCCAUUUUUCACACUACCUGUUGUAACUCCAACCAUGACAACUAUGGGAGAAGAUCCGGAACAUGUCCUUCAGGAUCCGACUGAACCUGUUGUUAAGCAUGAAAGGGAGGUACAACAGCCAAUUUUAGAGGAUGUGCCAGAGAACGAGGCACUUAGAAGGUCUAACAGAACAAGAAGGUCAACUAUUUCUGCUGAUUAUAAAGUUUGUAACACAUAAUUGGUUCAUAUGGAAGGUGGUCCCACUUCAUAUGAAGAAGCGAUGAGAAUCCCUCACUCAUCGAAGUGACUGGAGGCAAUGGAAGAUGAGAUGAAAUCGAUGAGUUCCAACGAUGUUUGGGACUUAGAAACUAUUACUAAAGGUGCCAAAACAGUAGAUUGUAAAUGGGUCUACAAAACAAAGUAGGACUCUAAUGGGAAUAUAGAAAAGUAUAAAGCACGACUCGUCGCAAAAAGAUUUACACAAAGAGAAGGGAUAGAGUACAAUGAGACUUUUUCCCUAGUCUCAUGUAAGGAUUCCUUCAAAAUCAUAAUGGCAUUAGUUGCACAUUUUGAUUUAGAGUUGCAUCAAAUGGAUGUAAAGACGACAUUUCUAAACGGAGAUUUAGAAGAAAAUGUCUACAUGAAAAAAUUCAAGGGUUUUAUCAUGGAAGGCAAGGAAGAUAUGGGAUGCCGCCUAAAGAAAUCCAUUUAUGGACUAAGGCAAGCCUCUAGACAGUGGUAUCUAAAGUUCAGCGAUACUAUUAAAAGAUUUGGAUUUAAAGAAAAUGUUGAGGAUAAUUGCGUUUAUGCAGAGUUCAAAAAUGGGAAAUAUAUUUUCUUAAUCUUGUAUGUGGAUGACAUCUUGCUUGGAACCAAUGGUGUUAGUCUACUACAAGAAACAAAGAAGUUUUUAUCCUCAAAUUUUGAUAUGAGAGACCUUGGUGAUGCUUCAUAUGUUUUGGGCAUUGAAAUUCACCGAGAUAGGAAAAAUAGAGUCUUAGGACUACCGCAGAAAGCAUAUUUAGAGAAGGUUCUCAAAAGUACAAUAUGCAUGCGAGCAAGGCCACACCUGCUUUUAUAGUCAAGGGCGACAGUUUUGGGAAAUUCCAAUGUCCCAAGAACCAGUACGAGCUCGAUGAGAUGAAAGCAGUAUCAUAUACUUCGGCUAUUGGAAGUUUACAGUAUGCACAACUGUGCACCCCCUGACUUAGCUUUUAUCACCGGGGUACUCGGUAGAUAUCAAGAGAAUCCAGACCUAGAGCAUUGGAAGAUGAUAAACAAAGCAUUACACUAUGUGCGAAGGCACAAACGAUAUCAUGCUAACAUACAAAAGAUUUGAUUCCCUAGAGAUAAAAGGGUAUUCAGACGCAGAUUUUGCGGGAGAUAGAAAUGAUAGAAAAUCCACGUCAGGAUACGUGUUCACUUUUGCUGAAGGGGCUAUUUCGUGGAAAAGCUCCAAACAAACCGUAGUUGCAUCGUCCACGAUGUAAGCAUAGUUUAUAGCAUGUUUUCAAGCCACUGGGAGGUGAUAUGGUUAAAGAAAUUUAUACCUGACUUGAAAGUGGUAGAUUGUAUUUACAAGCCACUAAAGAUGUACUGCGACAACCAACCCGCAUUAUUAUGCUCACAACAACAAGUUGAGUAAUGCUACCAAGACAAUAGAUAUAAAGUAUUAUGUUAUGAAAGACAAAAUACAGGAUCACACUAUAAGUCUCGAGCAUAUAAGGACAACGGAUAUGCUCGCAGAUCCGCUAACGAAAGGCUUACCACCCAAUGUGUUCAAAGAACACUUAGCCGGCAUGGGGUUAAUGGAAAGCCUAUGAUUCCUGGAUCAUAAGAGGCCCCAAAAGGAACAUAAUUUGUUUCUAAACAAAAGUAUGUUGUAGCUGUAUGAUUCUAUCGACAAUUAUGCUGUGACGAUGAGACAUGCUCUAUGUGUCAAUAUAUGAUGGAACAAAUAAACUAGAAAGUAUAAGGUUAAAGUAAAAGUUGAGAUCAAGAGGAAGAAUUAAUGUUAGGUUGAUCUCUUAGCAUGGGCCCAACGGCCCACCGUACCCUUGAUCCAUAUGCGCCCUGACCGGGGGCGCCCAACCCAUUAUGGUUGGUGGCCCCUGUGACCCGCACUAUCACUACAAGAGAACAGAGCUUUGGUAACACAUAGUAAAAUAUGUUACAAUCGAAAAUCCAGUAACACAUGAUUUGUGUUGCAAAGUCAGACUGUAACACAUACAAUAUAAGCUCAAAAAUGUGUUACGACAAUAUCGUCUAAGUAACACGUAAUUAUGUGUUGCACGUAAUGUGUUACACAGAUGUUGCUACAGUAACAUAUUAAUAUAUGUUAGUGGGAGUGUGUUACAAUAAGAUUGUAGAGAAAGUAACACAUAAUCAUGUGUUGAUCCAUGGUUUGGUUUUGAUAAAUAUCGAACUAUUUCGAGAUGGUUUUUGUAAAUACCAUAUUAGCCAAAUAAGGCGCUAAUUUUAGGAUGACUCAACGACCAUACAUGCACACCUUAAAUUGAUCAUAUAGAAUUAAGUAAUUGACGUCAAUGCAUGUACUCAUGAAGAUUAUAGUAUUUCAACUAAAAGCAUCAAUGAAGCACUAAAAGCGACUCAAAUGGGGCGACCCAUUUCGUCCGUCGCUGUCCGUUUGGGUCGGCACGGAUAAAAAACUUUGCCCAACUAGGCGACCCAAACGGACAACAAGUCCGUCUGGUGUCCAUUCCCGACCCAGACUGAACCAAAAUAUGGGUCACAAAUGGGUCUGCAGCGGAUAAAAGCGGGCGCUCCCGUCGUCUCCUCCCGUCCGCUCGUGUCCGCCCUGGUCCCACCCAUUAGUGACUGGGCACUCGUCCUCCUCACCACCGCCGCCCCGCCGACCCUGUAGGUGGAGCCGGGUCUGGGGACGAGGGAGGUAGCGAUGGCCUCAGUCUCGGUCUCCGGGUCGGAGACGGUAAUGUAGGAGUACUCGAACGUGGCGGCGCGUGCGGAUCUCGGGGAGGCAGAGGCGAAGCGCAGGGAGGAGGCGACGACCCCGACAAAGGACGAAGGGUCGACGAAGGAGGAGGAGGCACGGGACCGGGGGAAGGCGGCGGGGGUGGGAGGGGAGGUGGCGAGGAGGAGG